UUACGGCCACAUCAAGUUGAAACACCGGUUCCCGUACGAUCAACGAAUCUAAGCAACGUUGAACCUGGUCAGUACAUAGAUGGGUGACCACUUGAGAAUACCAAGUGCUGUAAG